rnacentral:lncRNA from 10 species
CCUCACUCUGGGUGGGUAACAUCAAAUCAGCUGCCAUUGCGGCUAGAAUAAAGCACACAGAAGAAACUGGAAGGAACAGACUGGCUGAGUGUUCCAGCCUUAAUCUUUCUCCUGUGCUAGAUGCUUCCUGCCCUCGAACGUCAGACUCCAAGUUCUUCAGCUUUUGGACUCUUGGACUUACACCAGUGGUUUGCCAGGGGCUCUUGGGCCUUUGGCCACAAACUGAGGGGUGCACUGUCGGCUUCCCUACUUUUGAGAUUUUGGGACUCGGACUGAUCCACCACUGACUUCCUUGCUCCUCAACUUGCAGAUGGCCUCUCGUGGGACUUUACCUUGUGAUCAUAGAACAAGAUCUUGCUGUAUUACCAAGCUCAUCUUAAACUGAACUCCGGGCCUCAAGAGAUCCUCCCAACUUGGCCUCCCAAAGUGCUGGAAUUACAGGUGUGAGCCACUUCGCCUGUCCCUGAACUGGGAGUUUUUAUACCCAUUUGCACUGAAGGAUUGAGAAGAAAAUUUGAGCAUUCCUAUACACAAAUCAACCAAAUGAAAUGUGUCAGAUUGUAGCACAGUGAUGAAUGUUGCCAAUAAGCCCUAGUAGUAUUUUUGGAUAUACAGCAACUUAAAUGGGUUAUUCUGAACUAAUUAGCAAAGUAC